rnacentral:rRNA from 1 species
AGAGUUUGAUCCUGGCUCAGGACGAACGCUGGCGGCGUGCCUAACACAUGCAAGUCGAGCGGAGUUAUAGCAAUAUAACUUAGCGGCGGACGGGUGAGUAACACGUGGGUAACCUGCCCUAUAGAGGGGGAUAGCCAUCCGAAAGGAUGAUUAAUACCGCAUAACGCGGAAUCUGGGCAUCCAGAUUCCGUCAAAGGAGAAAUCCGCUGAAGGAUGGGCCCGCGUCUGAUUAGCUAGUUGGUGAGGUAAGAGCUCACCAAGGCGACGAUCAGUAGCCGAUCUGAGAGGAUGAACGGCCACACUGGAACUGAGACACGGUCCAGACUCCUACGGGAGGCAGCAGUGGGGAAUAUUGCACAAUGGGGGAAACCCUGAUGCAGCAACGCCGCGUGGAGGAUGAAGGUCUUCGGAUUGUAAACUCCUUUGAUGAGGGACGAAAAAAUGACGGUACCUCAAAAACAAGCCACGGCUAACUACGUGCCAGCAGCCGCGGUAAUACGUAGGUGGCAAGCGUUGUCCGGAAUUAUUGGGCGUAAAGGGCGCGUAGGCGGCGUUUUAAGUCAGAUGUGAAAUACCUGGGCUCAACCUGGGAACUGCAUCUGAUACUGGAAUGCUAGAGUGCAGGAGAGGUAAGUGGAAUUCCUAGUGUAGCGGUGAAAUGCGUAGAUAUUAGGAGGAACACCAGUGGCGAAGGCGACUUACUGGACUGUAACUGACGCUGAGGCGCGAAAGCGUGGGGAGCAAACAGGAUUAGAUACCCUGGUAGUCCACGCUGUAAACGAUGGAUACUANGUGUGGGAGGUAUCGANNNNUUCCGUGCCGCAGUAAACGCAAUA